GCCCUGUUCCAGCUCCACUGUGACGAGGCAGCCAAGUCUAUAAUGCUAGUGUUCAGGAAUAAGAAGUCAGUCUCUCUGCAGAGAAAACCAGCUUUUACUACACUGGAGGUGCGGUGGAAGGAAGGCUGCGUGUUUGUUCUGUAUUCACCUGUAUUAGGCAGAAAAUUGCAGCCGGAGGCUACCACGGGCUGAGUUCCAGGUGCGUCUUCCCGUCUUCCCGCAGCCUGUGCCGGGGCCCCCGCCUCCAGCGAGGGAUGGGGCGCGCAGUGCGGAACGGCGUCCUCCAGUGAGUCACCGGGGCAUCACGCCACAGCCCACCAAGUUCAUUGCCAGCAGCACUUCCUGCCCCGUUUGUCAGCUGC